rnacentral:tRNA from 1 species
GGAGAGGUUCGGGAGUCAGGUUUAACCGGCGUGACUCGAAAUCACGUGUGCCCUCGCUGGCACCGGGGGUUCGAAUCCCCCCCUCUCCGCCA